UAGGGAAUCUUCGGCAAUGGGGGCAACCCUGACCGAGCAACGCCGCGUGAGUGAAGAAGGUUUUCGGAUCGUAAAGCUCUGUUGUAAGAGAAGAACGAGUGUGAGAGUGGAAAGUUCACACUGUGACGGUAACUUACCAGAAAGGGACGGCUAACUACGUGCCAGCAGCCGCGGUAAUACGUAGGUCCCGAGCGUUAUCCGGAUUUAUUGGGCGUAAAGCGAGCGCAGGCGGUUAGAUAAGUCUGAAGUUAAAGGCUGUGGCUUAACCAUAGUACGCUUUGGAAACUGUUUAACUUGAGUGCAGAAGGGGAGAGUGGAAUUCCAUGUGUAGCGGUGAAAUGCGUAGAUAUAUGGAGGAACACCGGUGGCGAAAGCGGCUCUCUGGUCUGUAACUGACGCUGAGGCUCGAAAGCGUGGGGAGCAAACAGGAUUAGAUACCCUGGUAGUCCACGCCGUANCGAUGAGUGCUAGGUGUUGGGUCCUUUCCGGGACUCAGUGCCGCAGCUAACGCAUUAAGCACUCCGCCUGGGGAGUACGACCGCAAGGUU
rnacentral:rRNA from 1 species